GUAAACGGCGGCCGUAACUAUAACGGUCCUAAGGUAGCGAAAUUCCUUGUCGGGUAAGUUCCGACCUGCACGAAUGGCGUAACGAUGGCCACACUGUCUCCUCCUGAGACUCAGCGAAGUUGAAGUGUUUGUGAUGAUGCAAUCUACCCGCGGCUAGACGGAAAGACCCCAUGAACCUUUACUGUAGCUUUGCAUUGAUCUGUGAACCGGCCUGUGUAGGAUAGGUGGGAGGCUUUGAAGCGUGGUCGCUAGAUCACGUGGAGCCAACCUUGAAAUACCACCCUGGUUUGUUUGCGGUUCUAACCUUGGUCCGUUAUCCGGAUCGGGGACAGUGCAUGGUGGGCAGUUUGACUGGGGCGGUCUCCUCCCAAAGUGUAACGGAGGAGUUCGAAGGUACGCUAGGUACGGUCGGAAAUCGUGCUGAUAGUGCAAUGGCAUAAGCGUGCUUGACUGUGAGACUGACAAGUCGAACAGGUGCGAAAGCAGGACAUAGUGAUCCGGUGGUUCUGAAUGGAAGGGCCAUCGCUCAACGGAUAAAAGGUACUCUGGGGAUAACAGGCUGAUACCGCCCAAGAGUUCAUAUCGACGGCGGUGUUUGGCACCUCGAUGUCGGCUCAUCUCAUCCUGGGGCUGUAGCCGGUCCCAAGGGUAUGGCUGUUCGCCAUUUAAAGAGGUACGUGAGCUGGGUUUAAAACGUCGUGAGACAGUUUGGUCCCUAUCUGCCGUGGGCGUUGGAUACUUGACGGAGCCUGCUCCUAGUACGAGAGGACCGGAGUGGACGUACCUCUGGUGUACCGGUUGUCAUGCCAAUGGCAUUGCCGGGUAGCUAAGUACGGAAGAGAUAACCGCUGAAGGCAUCUAAGCGGGAAACUCGUCUGAAGAUUAGGUAUCCCGGGGACUUGAUCCCCCUAAAGAGUCGUUCGAGACCAGGACGUUGAUAGGUCGGGUGUGGAAGCGCAGUAAUGCGUUAAGCUAACCGAUACUAAUUGCUCGUGAGGCUUGAUCCUAUAACACUGAUGGUU
rnacentral:rRNA from 1 species